UGCACCUCGGCGUACAAGCUGU
rnacentral:misc_RNA from 1 species